rnacentral:rRNA from 1 species
GGCGAACGGCUGAGUAACACGUGGGCAACCUGCCCUUUGCACUGGGAUAGCCUCGGGAAACCGAGGUUAAUACCGGAUACUCCAUAUUUGUCGCAUGGCGAAUAUGGGAAAGCUCCGGCGGCAAAGGAUGGGCCCGCGGCCUGUUAGCUAGUUGGUGGGGUAGUGGCCUACCAAGGCAGUGAUGGGUAGCCGGGUUGAGAGACCGACCGGCCAGAUUGGGACUGAGACACGGCCCAGACUCCUACGGGAGGCAGCAGGA